UUGCGGUUGUUUGCUUGGCUCUUUAGCCUUGCGAGUGGCCAUUUCCCAGGGCGGCUUCGUGAAUGUCUAUCGUAAAGGUGCAUGAGUGGUGUUUGGUUUGAUACGGGUGGUUGGCUCCCUGCUUGAGCAGGCACGACCGCGCGUACAUUCCUUUUCAGUUGUGCGGCAAGGCUUGUAUCGUCUUGAUCGUAUAUGUGGGUUUCCUGUGUUGCAUACCUGAUCAAUGGCAUCGUUUUGAUCAAAAACGUACCUUUUUCGUCAGGCGUUGCACCUGCAACGUUGGAUGAACCAUGCAGCAUCCUCUUUGAUCCAUAUAGUCAAUGAGCAUUUGUUGAUUGUUUGGCACAUUGAGUGGUGGCUGGUAUCUUGGAUAUGGAAGCCAAAGUGGGCAUGGGUUCGUAUGAUCCUUUUAUUGCCCUCGUUGAGCGUUCUCGCUUUUUCUUACACGACCGCCUUUCACGUAUGGCUUGUCCCAGCGUGUUUGGCUACGUCGAAGAGGAA
rnacentral:misc_RNA from 1 species